rnacentral:lncRNA from 1 species
GCACGGGGUGCCAGGAGCUCCCCGUCCCCGGCCCCCGGCCCGGGCUGAAACAGCAACGGUUUGCCCGGGCCCUCCCCCUUCCCUCUUCCCCAGCAAAUCUACCCAGACCGGAAGCGCGACACGCGCUUAGACCCGAGCCUUCUCUCAGCCUCGGGACCAGGUGCUUGUUGGCUGCGUCGAAAAGGCAAAAGUAAAAAAAGCGAAGGCGAAGGGCAGCUCAAUGGGAACGAUUCAGGGGGUCUUCCCGGCUCCCAGCACCCCCAAGAAGAUGGCUGCCGAUAAAUCUCGCGAGAAAUGAUGAAGUCUCGCGGUGGCUCCCGGAGCCUGCUGGGAGAGACGUAAGGUUAGCUGCACCUCUACUCCACGUGGUCCUCCCUUCAGGUCCCAGGCUGAUGGAGUAGCCUCUGUGUGUUUGGGAUGUUGUCAGUCAUAAUGGUGGACACAAAAGAGAUUAUGACAAACCGUGUAUUGUCUCCUACAAUUUCUGCUCACAGAAGUGGACAACAUCACUUCUUUCCACAUUUCAUUGACCAGAGCAAGUCAUGUGACCAAGCCUGAUUCAAAAUAGGCUGGAGCAAGGAGGAGCAGCAAACAUAAAUGACAAAAUUGGGGUCUGGACAUGUGCAAGGACUUUUCCGAAGUCAGCUGGAAAGGAGCUGCUUAGCUGAGAGGUUCUGGCUCCAAAGUCUCCUGUGAAGUUGCAGUCAAGAUGUCUGCUGGGACCCCAGUCAUUUGAAGCCCUGUCUGGGGCAGGAGAAUCUAGGUCCAAAAUGGCCGUUGCAGGAGUCCUUAUCCACACCAUGUGGGGCCUCUUCAUAGAUGUUCGAGUGUCCUCAUGGCAUGGCCACUGGCUUUCCCCAAAGUAAGCAGUCCAAAAGAGGGUAAGACAGAGCCCACACUGUCUUUUAUGAAUUAGCCUUGGAAGUCUAACACGGUUACUUCCACCACAUUCAUUAGUCGUUAGGUACAGCUCACAUU